GACGAACGCUGGCGGCGUGCUUAACACAUGCAAGUCGAACGGAAAGGCCCUGCUUUUGUGGGGUGCUCGAGUGGCGAACGGGUGAGUAACACGUGAGUAACCUGCCCUUGACUUUGGGAUAACUUCAGGAAACUGGGGCUAAUACCGGAUAGGAGCUCCUGCUGCAUGGUGGGGGUUGGAAAGUUUCGGCGGUUGGGGAUGGACUCGCGGCUUAUCAGCUUGUUGGUGGGGUAGUGGCUUACCAAGGCUUUGACGGGUAACCGGCCUGAGAGGGUGACCGGCCACAUUGGGACUGAGAUACGGCCCAGACUCCUACGGGAGGCAGCAGUGGGGAAUAUUGCACAAUGGGCGGAAGCCUGAUGCAGCAACGCCGCGUGCGGGAUGACGGCCUUCGGGUUGUAAACCGCUUUCGCCUGUGACGAAGCGUGAGUGACGGUAAUGGGUAAAGAAGCACCGGCUAACUACGUG
rnacentral:rRNA from 1 species